rnacentral:rRNA from 1 species
CCUACGGGAGGCAGCCGUGAGGAAUAUUGGUCAAUGGGCGGGAGCCUGAACCAGCCAAGCCGCGUGAGGGAAGAAGGUACAGCGUAUCGUAAACCUCUUUUGUCAGGGAACAAAGGCGGGGACUAGUCCCCGGAUGAGGGUACCUGAAGAAAAAGCAUCGGCUAACUCCGUGCCAGCAGCCGCGGUAAUACGGAGGAUGCGAGCGUUAUCCGGAUUUAAUGGGUUUAAAGGGUUGGCAGGCGGCCUGUUAAGUUAGCGGUAAAAGCCCGGGGCGCAACCCCGGCGAGCCGUUGAAACUGGCGGGCGGGAGUUGGAGAGAAGAAAGCGGAAUGAGCGGUGUAGCGGUGAAAUGCUUAGAUAUCGCGCAGAACCCCGAUUGCGAAGGCAGCGUACCGGCUCCACACUGACGCUGAGGCACGAAAGCGUGGGUAUCGAACAGGAGUAGAGACCCUUGUAGUC